AAUGAACGCUGGCGGCGCGUCUAACACAUGCAAGUCGAGCGGCAGGCAGCAACGCCGUCCGCGGUGCAGUGGCGAGCAACACGGGGAUAACGAAGCCCGUUGCCCGUGACAGCGUGUAGCAAUAGAGAGUAAGACCGGAUAGAGCACUGUUUACGUGAGGUAGACAGCGGGAAAGGAGCUUCGGCCGCGCGCCGGUGUCGGUCUGCGGCGCAUUAGCUGGUCGGCGGGGUAAAGGCCCGCCGGGGCGACGACGGGUAUCCGGCCUGAGAGGGCGAACGGACACACUGGAACUGAGACACGGUCCAGACUCCUACGGGAGGCAGCAGGGGAGAAUAUUCCGCAAUGGGCGAAAGCCUGACGGAGCGAUGCCGCGUGAGUGAAGAAGGCCGUAGGGUUGUAAAGCUCUUUUCUUUGCGAGGAAGAAGAGUCGGAGGAAAUGCCGCUACUUUGACGUUAGCGAAGGAAUAAGCACCGGCUAACUACGUG
rnacentral:rRNA from 1 species